UACGUAGGGUGCGAGCGUUGUCCGGAAUUAUUGGGCGUAAAGAGCUCGUAGGCGGUUUGUUGCGUCUAUCGUGAAAACCUGCAGCUUAACUGUGGGCUUGCGGUGGAUACGGGCAGACUUGAGUUCGGUAGGGGAGACUGGAAUUCCUGGUGUAGCGGUGAAAUGCGCAGAUAUCAGGAGGAACACCGGUGGCGAAGGCGGGUCUCUGGGCCGAUACUGACGCUGAGGAGCGAAAGCGUGGGUAGCAAACAGG
rnacentral:rRNA from 1 species